GGAGAGAACUACAACGAACGCCCUGAGAGACCCCUCUAAGCUUCUACUACCAACGCGUGGCCCAAACAUUUCACCCAUAAGAUUGAAGAUGCAUUUGAAAGGUUACCAGGAUUCAAGAAGGUCUUUGUAGUUGAAUUCAGGCCUCAGAAGGACCUCCAAAGG